AUUUUAAAUGAUCUGUUUUACAGUUCUCUUUAGUGUCCAACACUUGUAACGUCUCAGUACUUAAAAACUAACAGCUUUAUGUGUUUCAUUGUAGGACUAAUUGCUUAAGGAGAGAAUUGUCACAUACCCGAUGGGGGGGGGGGGGGCUGCAGAUCACAGCCUCCAUAGUGACUGAUAGGCUCUUCUUGCAUGGGUAGACAGUGAAGGGACAGAGUGGUGAGUGGGUAAACCUCCCAAUGUGCUAACCAUCAGAGCCUUGCUGGCAUAGAGGUGGCAAUAAUUCACUAUUGGCAUGGAUCCAAUAGCAGAUUAAUUCUUGCCUGGGAGUCAGUUCUUUCCUUGUGCUGUCCCAUCCCAGGAGUAGAACAGCAACGACAUCAUUCCCUCUCUUCCCUCCCCCCCAAUAUAAAAAUGCCUUUUUUUAUGGAGUGUAUUGGCAAAUUUAACAGGGCAACAUUGAAUGUCAUAAAUAUUUUCAUGCUUGAUAUACAAAUCAUUUUAAGGAUCCCUUACUCUGAAAAAUUCCCCCAAGAAAUUUCAAUACAAUCAACUUAAAUGUUUUUUUGUUUUGCAGCAGCCUGUGUUAUAGGGAAAUUCUUUGGUUUUAUGCUCCUGCAUAUUUUGUUUCAGUGCAGCCUGCUGAAAAAGAUGUAAUUUUAAUCAUUUUCAUUGUUGACUAGCACACAGACAACUGACUAUCAUGUUUGUUCUCUGCUUGCUUGCCAAAACUAAAUGAUGAUGAUACUUUGAGCUGAUUUCUUAAAUUUCCUAGAGUUAUAUUGUAAAUUUUCCUUUGUGGGGAUAUUAUCCUCAGUGGUUUUAUUGCUUGAACAGAGCUGAUCAUCAGGAAAUGCAAGGGUAGGACACAUUAAAGGAUUUUAAAACUUUUUCUGCUUUGCAACUGGCUGUUAUAAAAUAAAACAAACAAACCAACCCCCCAAGCAUUCUACAAUAUAAAAGUCAUGUAGUUUCUGAGCAUACUCUGCCAAACCAUUUUUUGUAGCCCUGUGUGUAAGAAGCUUUCCUUGUGACUAACACAGUAAGGUAAAGUGUCAAGGACUUACAUUACGUCAUUCAAGAAUCUUUUUUUUAUGUGCUGUGCUCCAGAGCAAUUAUAAUAUGGAUGCUAUAACAGCACUGGUUAGUUAAAGUUAUCACUUUCACUGAAACUUUGACUUCGGUAGUUUGAAACUGCAGCAUACAGUUUGCCAUCUUGGCUAUAUGAAUUUUUGUAAACAAAAUUUGUUUAACUUUGAGCAGUGUGGAGCUUGAAAAUCUCAAUACAUAUCAUUUUAAAGAAAAGCGUUUUCUUUUUUUUCCUCUGACUGGUGUAAACUGAAAUGUACUAUCCUCAGAACAGAUGCAGCUGUGUCAUUGCAAUGCUUACGUACAGUGUAUACCGCUUUAUUUUUCUCAAAAUAGUAGAAAUGAUGAGUAGGUAAAUAUUAGGUUUAUGUUGAGGUUAGUUUUUAAGACAUUUUUGGUCUAGCACUUUUAUUUUAAAGUUUUUAUGGAAAGAAAUAUUUUUUGUUGUGCAACUGUAAAAUAGCCAAAACACACACAAAUGACUUGGAUAAUUGCCAUUUAAAACUAUAUAUGAGAACAAUUGUGACUGUCAAUGUAUGCCACAAAGGUCAAUAUUGUGUAGUUUGAAAUGGAAGGGAGAUUCUUCUUGAAAAUUAGAAAAGAGAAGAACAUUGAUCGCCUCCUCGGAAGAGCAUAGGUAAUACAAUACUGAAAUAAACAAUUUGUUUUUCAAAAUGCCACUUUUGAAAAAUCAAAACAGAAUUUAUGCAAGUUUUGGUUUUUAGGGGCAAAGGUAAUUGUCUGGUUAUUGGUGCAGAGAUGAUUUUUCUUGAGGAGAGAAAAUAGCUUAGAGGACUGAAUAGAGUGACAUCUUAAAGAUUAGUUGAUUAAUUGUACUUGUGAUGACAAAGCAGAAGUGAGAAGUGAAGCAGAGACUAUAAGAGCGUCAGAGCUGAUAGGGUGAGUGGUAUUGAGGAUGGCAAAUGGCAUCAGGAUCUUUGAGAAAUAUGGAUGAUUACCCUGAUGGGUUUUGUCAGCUGAUGGACUCUAAUAUUGAGUCAUGAAGGCUUUAUUCCCCUUUGAAAUCUGAUUCUAAUACAAUGGAAUAAUGCCUUUUUCUUAAUUUCUCACCUGCUACAUAAAAUUAAUCAGCUCCAAAACUACUUGAAGUAACAGAGAGAGCUAUAAGUCUGUAGUGUCAGUCUCUUUUGUCUGAGAUCUGCAGUGUUUUACAUAUUACGUACAAUUCUCAUGAUCUUAAUAAAACAGGUUUAGUGUAAAUUUGAAACCUAUUGUAUUUUUCUCUGUGUAGGAGAUGGAAAAUGGAGACAGCACAUUUGUUUCUGCAAUGAGUUAUGAUGGCAGUGUACUGUGUUGAACACCCAUGCUACUAACUACAUGAAUGGACUUACUACUAAAAGUUUGUGUGUGUGUGGUAUAUUGAUGAGGUAGUGACUCUAUAGUAGUUGAAAUGGAAAUUGCACUUUGAUUAUUUUUUUCAUAUAAAUUUCUAAAAACAUUAACCAUUGCAUUCAGAUUCUUCAUGCUUAGUUUCAACCCACAAAUAAUGGGUUUCUUUUAAAAAAUAAAUAAAUAAAUUUAAAAAAAUAUCCAGACUUCAGGAAUUAUUUGAAUUUGAAGUAUAGCUUUUAAAAAAAAUUAUUAAACUUCCGAGGUGGCAAAAAUUAAUGACAGAAUUGUUACUAAGCUAUUCAACACAUGGAUACCCAUUAUUGAUCUACUUCUGGACCUGCUCAACUCUGUAACUACUUAAACAGUUUGGAUUGAGGACUAGUGUCUCUGCUUGCUUGACUAACUUGUUUUUAAGUAACUUCUAGAGGUUUGAAAACAAUAGUGUGCAUUAGUAAUACAUUAUUUUCCUUAAUGUCAGAAAGAUGUACUAAGCUACGGUACUCAAAAUGUAUGAUUAUUCUAGAAGAAUUAUGCAAGUGAUGUGGAU